rnacentral:rRNA from 1 species
UUCUGGCUCAGGACGAACGCUGGCGGCGUGCCUAAUACAUGCAAGUUGAACGCUUGAUUUUCACCGAAGCUUGCUUCACCGAAAAUCAAGAGUAGCGAACGGGUGAGUAACGCGUGGGUAACCUACCUUUCAGCGGGGGAUAACUACUGGAAACGGUAGCUAAUACCGCAUAAUGUCGCAAGACCAAAGAGGGGGACCUUCGGGCCUCUUGCCAUCAGAUGUGCCCAGAUGGGAUUAGCUAGUAGGUGGGGUAAUGGCUCACCUAGGCGACGAUCCCUAGCUGGUCUGAGAGGAUGACCAGCCACACUGGAACUGAGACACGGUCCAGACUCCUACGGGAGGCAGCAGUGGGGAAUAUUGCACAAUGGGCGCAAGCCUGAUGCAGCCAUGCCGCGUGUAUGAAGAAGGCCUUCGGGUUGUAAAGUACUUUCAGCGAGGAGGAAGGCGUUAAGGUUAAUAACCUUAGUGAUUGACGUUACUCGCAGAAGAAGCACCGGCUAACUCCGUGCCAGCAGCCGCGGUAAUACGGAGGGUGCAAGCGUUAAUCGGAAUUACUGGGCGUAAAGCGCACGCAGGCGGUCUGUCAAGUCGGAUGUGAAAUCCCCGGGCUCAACCUGGGAACUGCAUUCGAAACUGACAGGCUAGAGUCUUGUAGAGGGGGGUAGAAUUCCAGGUGUAGCGGUGAAAUGCGUAGAGAUCUGGAGGAAUACCGGUGGCGAAGGCGGCCCCCUGGACAAAGACUGACGCUCAGGUGCGAAAG